CCUACGGGAGGCAGCAGUGGGGAAUUUUGGACAAUGGGGGCAACCCUGAUCCAGCCAUUCCGCGUGAGUGAAGAAGGCCUUCGGGUUGUAAAGCUCUUUCGCAAGGGAAGAAAACUUAUGAUCGAAUAAAUCAUGAGGUUGACGGUACCUUGAUAAGAAGCACCGGCUAACUACGUGCCAGCAGCCGCGGUAAUACGUAGGGUGCGAGCGUUAAUCGGAAUUACUGGGCGUAAAGCGUGCGCAGGCGGUUUUGUAAGUCGGAUGUGAAAUCCCCGGGCUCAACCUGGGAACUGCGUUCGAAACUGCAAGGCUAGAGUGUGUCAGAGGGGGGUAGAAUUCCACGUGUAGCAGUGAAAUGCGUAGAGAUGUGGAGGAAUACCAAUGGCGAAGGCAGCCCCCUGGGAUAACACUGACGCUCAUGCACGAAAGCGUGGGGAGCAAACAGGAUUAGAUACCCUGGUAGUCCACGCCCUAAACGAUGUCAACUAGUUGUUGGUAGAGUAAAUCUAUGAGUAACGUAGCUAACGCGUGAAGUUGACCGCCGUGGGGAGGUACGGUCGCGAAGUAAGUUAAACGUUAACGAAAGUAAAGUUAGUUACGGCGUUGAGACGNGCGACGGACGACGACGAGGGAGGAGG
rnacentral:rRNA from 1 species